GCGAAACUGCGAAUGGCUCAUUAAAUCAGUUAUAGUUUAUUUGAUAGUACCUUACUACAUGGAUAACCGUGGUAAUUCUAGAGCUAAUACAUGCUAAAAACCCCGACUUCGGAAGGGGUGUAUUUAUUAGAUUAAAAACCAAUGCCCUUCGGGGCUAACUGGUGAUUCAUAAUAACUUCUCGAAUCGCAUGGCCUUGCGCUGGCGAUGGUUCAUUCAAAUUUCUGCCCUAUCAACUUUCGACGGCUGGGUCUUGGCCAGCCAUGGUGGCAACGGGUAACGGAGGGUUAGGGCUCGACCCCGGAGAAGGAGCCUGAGAAACGGCUACUACAUCCAAGGAAGGCAGCAGGCGCGCAAAUUACCCAAUCCCGACACGGGGAGGUAGUGACAAUAAAUACUGAUACAGGGCUCUUUUGGGUCUUGUAAUUGGAAUGAGUACAAUUUAAAUCCCUUAACGAGGAACAAUUGGAGGGCAAGUCUGGUGCCAGCAGCCGCGGUAAUUCCAGCUCCAAUAGCGUAUAUUAAAGUUGUUGAGGUUAAAAAGCUCGUAGUUGAACCUUGGGCUCGGCUCGUCGGUCCGCCUCACCGCGUGCACUGACUGGGUCGGGCCUUUUUUCCUGGAGAACCGCAUGCCCUUCACUGGGUGUGUCGGGGAACCAGGACUUUUACCGUGAACAAAUCAGAUCGCUCAAAGAAGGCCUAUGCUCGAAUGUACUAGCAUGGAAUAAUAGAAUAGGACGUGUGGUUCUAUUUUGUUGGUUUCUAGGACCGCCGUAAUGAUUAAUAGGGACAGUCGGGGGCAUCAGUAUUCAAUUGUCAGAGGUGAAAUUCUUGGAUUUAUUGAAGACUAACUACUGCGAAAGCAUUUGCCAAGGAUGUUUUCAUUAAUCAGGAACGAAAGUUAGGGGAUCGAAGACGAUCAGAUACCGUCGUAGUCUUAACCAUAAACUAUGCCGAUUAGGGGGCGGCCGUUUAUUUUUUGACCCGUUCGGCACCUUACGAGUAAAUCAAAGA
rnacentral:rRNA from 1 species